ACUGUGUACUUACUUAGAAUCAUGGAAUAUCCUGAGCUAGAAGGGAUCUGCAAGGAUCACUGAGUUCAACUGCUGUCUUCACAUAUGCAGAAUCCACAACAUGCUCAAAUGUCAUAUGGUUGGUGAUAGCCCAGCCCUCUAAUUUAUCAAGAUCCCUCUGGAAGGCCUCUCUACCCUCAAAGGAGUUAGCAGGUUAUAAGUAUCAUUCAGACACCAGUCUUCUGAGAUGUGACCAGUGAUGAAGACCAGUGAUGUUUCUCCACUCCUUUCAGAAGAUAUUAACUGCAAGGCCUUUCCUGUCUUGCAAGAGUUUGGAUGUUGCAGAGCACCAUCGGUAUGUUUUUGUUAGCUG